rnacentral:tRNA from 1 species
AGGGUGUUAGUAUAGUGGUAUUAUAGCGGAUUCCAAAUCCGAAGAUCUGAGUUCGAUUCUUAGACGCCCUGCCA